rnacentral:rRNA from 1 species
GAUGAACGCUGGCGGCGUGCCUAAUACAUGCAAGUCGAACGAGUUCUCGUUGAUGAUCGGUGCUUGCACCGAGAUUCAACAUGGAACGAGUGGCGGACGGGUGAGUAACACGUGGGUAACCUGCCCUUAAGUGGGGGAUAACAUUUGGAAACAGAUGCUAAUACCGCAUAGAUCCAAGAACCGCAUGGUUCUUGGCUGAAAGAUGGCGUAAGCUAUCGCUUUUGGAUGGACCCGCGGCGUAUUAGCUAGUUGGUGAGGUAAUGGCUCACCAAGGCGAUGAUACGUAGCCGAACUGAGAGGUUGAUCGGCCACAUUGGGACUGAGACACGGCCCAAACUCCUACGGGAGGCAGCAGUAGGGAAUCUUCCACAAUGGACGCAAGUCUGAUGGAGCAACGCCGCGUGAGUGAAGAAGGCUUUCGGGUCGUAAAACUCUGUUGUUGGAGAAGAAUGGUCGGCAGAGUAACUGUUGUCGGCGUGACGGUAUCCAACUAGAAAGCCACGGCUAACUACGUGCCAGCAGCCGCGGUAAUACGUAGGUGGCAAGCGUUAUCCGGAUUUAUUGGGCGUAAAGCGAGCGCAGGCGGUUUUUUAAGUCUGAUGUGAAAGCCCUCGGCUUAACCGAGGAAGCGCAUCGGAAACUGGGAAACUUGAGUGCAGAAGAGGACAGUGGAACUCCAUGUGUAGCGGUGAAAUGCGUAGAUAUAUGGAAGAACACCAGUGGCGAAGGCGGCUGUCUGGUCUGUAACUGACGCUGAGGCUCGAAAGCAUGGGUAGCGAACAGGAUUAGAUACCCUGGUAGUCCAUGCCGUAAACGAUGAAUGCUAGGUGUUGGAGGGUUUCCGCCCUUCAGUGCCGCAGCUAACGCAUUAAGCAUUCCGCCUGGGGAGUACGACCGCAAGGUUGAAACUCAAAGGAAUUGACGGGGGCCCGCACAAGCGGUGGAGCAUGUGGUUUAAUUCGAAGCAACGCGAAGAACCUUACCAGGUCUUGACAUCUUUUGAUCACCUGAGAGAUCAGGCUUCCCCUUCGGGGGCAAAAUGACAGGUGGUGCAUGGUUGUCGUCAGCUCGUGUCGUGAGAUGUUGGGUUAAGUCCCGCAACGAGCGCAACCCUUAUGACUAGUUGCCAGCAUUUAGUUGGGCACUCUAGUAAGACUGCCGGUGACAAACCGGAGGAAGGUGGGGAUGACGUCAAAUCAUCAUGCCCCUUAUGACCUGGGCUACACACGUGCUACAAUGGAUGGUACAACGAGUUGCGAGACCGCGAGGUCAAGCUAAUCUCUUAAAGCCAUUCUCAGUUCGGACUGUAGGCUGCAACUCGCCUACACGAAGUCGGAAUCGCUAGUAAUCGCGGAUCAGCACGCCGCGGUGAAUACGUUCCCGGGCCUUGUACACACCGCCCGUCACACCAUGAGAGUUUGUAACACCCGAAGCCGGUGGCGUAACCCUUCUAGGGAGCGAGCCGUCUAAGGUGGGACAAAUGAUUAGGGUG